UACGGAGGGGGCUAGCGUUGUUCGGAAUUACUGGGCGUAAAGCGCACGUAGGCGGACUGUUAAGUCGGGGGUGAAAUCCUGGGGCUCAACCUCAGAAUUGCCUCCGAUACUGGCAGUCUCGAGUGCGGGAGAGGUGGAGUGGAAUUCCCAGUGUAGAGGUGAAAUUCGUAGAUAUUGGGAAGAACACCGAGUGGCGAAGGCGGCUCACUGGCC
rnacentral:rRNA from 1 species